rnacentral:rRNA from 1 species
AACGAACGCUGGCGGCAUGCCUAACACAUGCAAGUCGAACGAGACCUUCGGGUCUAGUGGCGCACGGGUGCGUAACGCGUGGGAACCUGCCCUUAGGUUCGGAAUAACUCCCCGAAAGGGGUGCUAAUACCGGAUAAUGUCUUCGGACCAAAGAUUUAUCGCCUUUGGAUGGGCCCGCGUUGGAUUAGCUAGUUGGUAGGGUAAAAGCCUACCAAGGCGACGAUCCAUAGCUGGUCUGAGAGGAUGAUCAGCCACACUGGGACUGAGACACGGCCCAGACCCAGGAGGGACGGAGAUGGUGAGAAUAUUGGCGUACGGGAGAGAGCGUGCUCCAACAGUGGCGCGUGAGUGAAGAAGGUGUGUGUUGUGUAAAGCUUUUGGACCGGGGAUGAAAACGGCAUUCCCGGAAGAAAAAGCCCCGGCAACCACGCGGCGAGAAACCGAGUAAAAAUCGAAGAGAAGACGUCUAACC